ACACGGACACACACAUGCAGAAAGACACACGGCUACACGGACCCCUCUAUUGGCUGAGUGGGACUGGCACAGGUCAUCAUCUGAAGAUACCCAGGAAAGGCCAUCGGGGGCCCUGGGUGUGGAAGGAUGUGCUCUCUCCGUUUUCCUGGCUCCUGUCUCUGCCCCUCCAGUAUGAUGAAGUGGAGAGGUGAACGCCCCUGAGCAAGCCACACAGCUUCUGAGAACCUCUGCUCCCUCACCUUUCCAGGAUCUCAGGUGCCUGUGGGACACUCCCUUCAGAGCCCCCAAAACAGGGCCUAACUCACUAUUUUAAAUUAUAUUGUGCCCCCCCACCACCCGUGUGUGUAUGUCUGUCUGUGUGUGUGUGUGUGUGUGUGUUUACAACUUGUGGGAGUCAGUUCUCUCCUACCAUUAUAUCAUGUGGAUCCUGGAGGAAACCAUCAGCCUUGAGAGCAGACAUCUGAACCAUCUCACCAGCCCCUCACUGUUUUUAUUGCUUUACCAAACUCAAACUCUUGCUGAAUAAGCUAUGGGUGUCUAGUCCUACAAGACCCCAUGAGGGCAAAGACUUUCUUAAGAACUCAUUCCUAGUCAGUAGGCAGAGGCAGGCAGAUCUCUGAGUUCAAGGCCCAGGACGGCUAGAACUGUAGUCUGGCUGGCAGGAAACCUAGGCUUCAAAACAACAAAAGGAAAAAAGAACUUGCUACUGGGGAGCUUACCUCGCCUGGUUGUGUACACACAGGAAAUCUUGGGUUCAGUCCUCAGCACAAGGUUGGUGUAUGCUUAUAAUCCCAGCUCUGAGGAAGUGGAGGCCGGAAGAUCAUGAGUUCAAUAUCCUCCUCAGCUGCUGACUGGCACCCAAUAUUGGUUUCCUGAAACUUUUAUCUGGAAGAUAAGCACAGAGAUUUAGCUUCACAAAAUCAAUAGUUAUCAUGUGUAUACUUAUAAAUUGCCUUAAUGUUCAACUAUUGUCAGUUGUUAGUGUGAUAAGACAAAUAGAAUAUUAUGCAACCUUUAAGAGGAAGCAGGUGGUUGUUAUUGAUGUGGAAAGAUGUUAAUUACUAAAGAAAAACAAGAUACUGUCUUAGUUAAGGUUUCAUUUCACUCUUACAAGGAAAACAUUUAAUUGGGGCUGGCUUACAGAUUGAGGAGUUUAGACCAUUAUCAUCAAAGCAAGACACAUAUAUGGUGGUGUACAGACAGACACGGUACUGGAGAAGGAGCUGAGAACUCCUCCUUGAUCUGCAGGUAGUAGGUACCACUACACUGGGCAUGGCUUGAGCAUAGGAGACCUCAAAGCCUACCUCCACAGUGACACACUUUCCCAACAAGGCCACACCUACUCCAACAAGGCCAUACUUCCUAAUAGUGGCACUCCCUAUGGGCCGAGCAUUCAAACAUGAGUCUAUGGUGGCUAUAUCUGUAAAUGGAUUUUUAUUAAACUCUAUGAGUUAGUGAUACGACUCAGUCAAAUCUCCCCUCCCCCAAUAACUAAGGCAGAAUCCUAUGGAUUUGUUAACCAGCUCUUGCACAAUUACUGGGGGACUACCCCUAAUCUCUAUUUCUAUUAACUAGACUGUUAAUUCCCAGCUGUGCUCCCCAAAUAUUUGCUGUUUGAACCUUUUCUGGGUUACUUCUGUUGCAGCAAACUGUCCUGGGGGUGGGGUGGGGGACAUUUCACUUAGGCACAUGCUCCUGGGCCAUCAUGUCUAACGGAGACCUUCUGUCUUCUCUGUCUUCCUUCCCCUAUUCCUCUCUUUCUUUUUCAUGGUCUCUACCUGCGACCCACAGCCAGGUAACUGAAAAUCAGCCUACCUCUGUUGUCCCCAGUAAUUGGCUGUAGCCACCUUUAUUUAGCCAAUAGUUUAAAAUCGGGGAGCAAGGUUUACAUAGCAUCACUUGGUGUAUGUGAGGAUCUGCUGGUGGGGGUGGCAGCUACCAGAUCUUGGGGGGGGAGUAUUUAGCAUUUGAAUAUGAAGCAGCACCAGCUAACACAUACCAAUUCAAAGUACCACAAAGACUAUUUACAUAUCAAAAAUAUGUACUUGUAUAUUUAAAAAUCCGUAAGUUAUUGCAUCCAGAAGUCAACAAUCGAUAAUCUUGAAUAUGGUUUUCAGUGACUUCCCGUUCCAGAUUUUCCUCUUCCAAGUUCUCCUCCCUGUACUUUGCUUUCAUGAAUGAUAAUGGUGAUGGAGAGGUGGGGGGGUGGGGUGGGGUGCAGCUAUUAAAAAAUUUCUUCCUUCAACUUUUAAAUUACUGAAUAAAAAUGAAGACAUGGCCACUCCUAGGUGUAAUUAAGAAGGUUUAAUUGUAGAUAUGAGGGGAAGAACAGCCAGAGGCAUCUGGAAGAGUCCAGACUGAACGUGGUCAGCAGAGUACACCCGGUCAAGGGAGGUGGGGGGAGUGAAAGAGAAAGUGAAAAGGCGGAGGUGGCUAUAGACUAAUAAGCCAAGAGGGCUAGAAGCCAAAAUGGCAGGAUUUUAUAGCGAUGUAAGCUGGGGGAAGGGAAGCCCCCCCCCCCCAUCUGGGCGGCAGAGGUUUAGGGGAGGGGAGGGGCAAGGAACGCUGGGAGGAGCCACAGGUUUGUACUGGCUAGCAUCUGCUUUGAUAAGUUAAUAGUACCUUGGUUUGCCUCUGGUUCUGGGUUUCUUUGGGACCUAGCAUGUAUUUGUUAUUAAAAUGAUGAAGGUGGGGAAUGGGUAGUCAGGCAGUGGUGGCACACACCUUCAUCUGAGGACAGUCUGGUCUAUUGAGUGAGCCAGGGCUAUUAGAGAAAGCCUGUCCCAAAACACAAAAACGAACCUAAACAAACAAAAAAAAAACGAAGGAAGGGGCUGGCUCUUUGUUCCAGAGGACCCAGGUUCAAUUCCCAGCACCCACAAGGCAGCUUACAACUGUCUUUAACUCCAGGAUUUGGCACCCUUGCACAGACAUACAUGCAGGCAACAAAACUAUACAAGGGAGAGAAUUUUAAUAGCAUAAAUUUCCUAUUAUGUAAUUAGUUGUGCCUGUUGAUAGGACUGUGAUAUUUUGAUACCUAUGAACUUUGUAUAAUGAUCACACAGAGUAAUUGGUAGGCCACCUCGUACAUUUAUCAUUUCUUGAUCAGCCGUAAUCAAUCACAAACAUGGUUUUUUAGUUCAGUGUUCAGUAUUGCUGACCUCAGAAUACAACACUGUGUAAGAAGACUUAGUGAUAGUCGGGCAGUGGUGGCUCAAGCCUUUAAUCCCAGCACUUGGGAGGCACAGGCAGGCGGAUUUCUGAGUUCAAGGCCAGCCUGGUCUACAAAGUGAGUUCCAAGACAGCCAGGGCUACACAGAGAAACCCUGUCUCAGAGAAGA
ensembl:lincRNA